rnacentral:rRNA from 1 species
UACGUAGGGUGCAAGCGUUAAUCGGAAUUACUGGGCGUAAAGCGUGCGCAGGCGGUUAUGUAAGGCAGAUGUGAAAUGCCCGGGCUUAACCUGGGAACUGCAUUUGUGACUGCAUGGCUAGAGUUUGGCAGAGGGGGGUAGAAUUCCACGUGUAGCAGUGAAAUGCGUAGAGAUGUGGAGGAACACCGAUGGCGAAGGCAGCCCCCUGGGCUAGUACUGACGCUCAUGCACAAAAGCGUGGGGAGCAAACAGG